rnacentral:rRNA from 1 species
ACUCAAAUGAAUUGACGGGGGCCCGCACAAGCGGCGGAGCAUGCGGAUUAAUUCGAUGCAACGCGAAGAACCUUACCAAGGCUUGACAUCACCCGGAUACCAGCAGAGAUGUUGGGUUCUUCGGACUGGGUGACAGGUGGUGCAUGGUUGUCGUCAGCUCGUGUCGUGAGAUGUUGGGUUAAGUCCCGCAACGAGCGCAACCCUUGUCUCAUGUUGCCAGCAUGUAAUGGUGGGGACUCAUGGGAGACUGCCGGGGUCAACUCGGAGGAAGGUGGGGAUGACGUCAAAUCAUCAUGCCCCUUAUGUCUUGGGCUUCACGCAUGCUACAAUGGCCGGUACAACGGGUUGCGAUACUGUAAGGUGGAGCGAAUCCCUAAAAGCCGGUCUCAGUUCGGAUUGGGGUCUGCAACUCGACCUCAUGAAGUCGGAGUCGCUAGUAAUCGCAGAUCAGCAACGCUGCGGUGAAUACGUUCCCGGGCCUUGUACACACCGCCCGU